CAGCAGCCGCGGGAAUACGGAGGGUGCAAGCGUUAAUCGGAAUUACUGGGCGUAAAGCGCACGCAGGCGGUCUGACAAGUCAGAUGUGAAAUCCCCGGGCUUAACCUGGGAACUGCAUUUGAAACUGUCAGGCUGGAGUCUUGUAGAGGGGGGUAGAAUUCCAGGUGUAGCGGUGAAAUGCGUAGAGAUCUGGAGGAAUACCGGUGGCGAAGGCGGCCCCCUGGACAAAGACUGACGCUCAGGUGCGAAAGCGUGGGGAGCAAACAGGAUUAGAUACCCCGGUAGUCCCUGUCUCUUAACA
rnacentral:rRNA from 1 species